rnacentral:rRNA from 1 species
UGCCAGCCGCCGCGGUAAUACGGAGGGGGUUAGCGUUGUUCGGAAUUACUGGGCGUAAAGCGUACGUAGGCGGACUGAAAAGUUGGGGGUGAAAUCCCGGGGCUCAACCCCGGAACUGCCUCCAAAACUGCCAGUCUUGAGUUCGAGAGAGGUGAGUGGAAUUCCGAGUGUAGAGGUGAAAUUCGUAGAUAUUCGGAGGAACACCAGUGGCGAAGGCGGCUCACUGGCUCGAUACUGACGCUGAGGUACGAAAGUGUGGGGAGCAAACAGGAUUAGAUA